ACGGGGUGCAGCAGGCGCGAAAACUUUGCAAUGUGCGAAAGCACGACAAGGUUAAUCCGAGUGGUUUGUGCUAAACAGACCUUUUGUUAGUCCUAGAAACACUAACGAAUAAGGGGUGGGCAAGUUCUGGUGUCAGCCGCCGCGGUAAAACCAGCACCUCAAGUGGUCAGGAUGAUUAUUGGGCCUAAAGCAUCCGUAGCCGGCUCUAUAAGUUUCCCGUUAAAUCCAACGUCUCGAGCGUUGGACUGCGGGAAAUACUGUACGGCUAGAGAGUGGGAGAGGUCAGCGGUAUUCUGGGGGUAGGGGCGAAAUCCUUUGAUCCCCGGAGGACCACCAGUGGCGAAGGCUGCUGACUAGAACACGUCUGACGGUCAGGGACGAAAGCUGGGGUAGCGAACCGGAUUAGAUACCCGGGUAGUCCCAGCCGUAAACGAUGCAUGCUAGGUGUUGGGUUGGCCACGAGCCACCCCAGUGCCGCAGGGAAGCCGUUAAGCAUGCCGCCUGGGAAGUACGAUCGCAAGAUUAAAUUUUAAGGAAUUGGCGGGGGAGCAC
rnacentral:rRNA from 1 species